GUUACGCACGAUGCAUUUUACCA
rnacentral:siRNA from 1 species